rnacentral:piRNA from 1 species
CAGAGUGUAGCUUAACACAAAGCACCCAACU